UGGUGAUGGUGGAGGGAGAUGUCAGCGGCGGAGGAAGAUGAUGGUAAGGAAUAACGAAGGGGAGGAAAAGAAGCCAUGUUCAAUAUCUCUUGUACCUAGGGUUUCGGAAAACGAAAUUACGGAAAAGCCCUCAAAGUUGGAGAAAAUUACGGAACUGCCACAACAAAUUGGGAAUGGGAUAGACUUUUAUACACAGGCAAGAAAAGCUUUGUCUCUGCGUUGUCCUUUUGAUUCUGAGGAGUCUAAUUCUCAGUCACAGCCAUCUUCUUCCUCUACUCUGCACCUUACUUUACCAAAUAACUUAGCUCAGUUGUUAAAUAAGAAUUCUGAUAGUAGAAAACGGCAUAAGAAGUCUCAUGCAGGGACUGAAACUAAGAAGAAGUCGUCUUCCCGGCAAAAAGGGGGUCGCAAUA
rnacentral:misc_RNA from 1 species